ensembl:snoRNA SNORA72 Small nucleolar RNA SNORA72
UUUUAAUCAAGAUAACUGCUGCCUCUUGUAAUUAUCAGAACAGGGUAAACAUUUGCUAUGUUAGGACCACACAUGCAUCCCCAGAUCUAGUUCUUUCCCGUGUCUGGUUUUACAAAGGCUGAGGAUAACC